CUUUAACUCUACUCUGAUGUCAAGGUCCUGAGCUUACUACAGAUACGGGUCAUGUGCCAGCAAACCUGACGGCUGCAGAAGUCUCCCUGGAGAAACUGAGCCUACCAUUUCACCAGGAGGAGUUUAUAUGGGCAGUUCCUGUGGAGGCUGAGAAAAAUCAAGGCCAUCCCACCUUAGGUUUAGCCUUAGCAUAAGUACAGCCAUCUCAGACCCCUGUGCCCAAGGGCUGAACUUCCCCCUACUUUGCUUUAGUUCCAGGAAGCCUCACCCUACUUUAGUUCUAAAGACCCCCACCCUACUUUAGUUCCAAAGACCCCCAUCCUACUUUAGUUCCAGGAAGCCCCACCCUGCUUUGGUUCCGGAGACCACUACCCUGCUUUAGUAACAGGAACCCAUAUAUACCCCUGCCUUAACUAAGCUUGGGGUCCAAGUCCCUACUCCACUGCAUCAAGUAUACUUGGGCCCAAGCUUAAGCAUGUCACCUCGGGGUCUGUGUUCCUACUCUACUGUGUCGGGUAUACUUGGGCCCAAGCUUAAGCUUGUCACAUAAACCCUUGCAUCAGUGCUUGGCUCCUUGGUGGUCUCUCAGACGUGAAAACCCGGGCAUAACAUUCCCUAAUUCCUCCCAUUUGUGAAAGCUCAAACAUAUUUGUUCACUGAGUACCUCAAGUUUUAGGAUCCUGUUGGUUUUUCUUCAGCGAUUGGCCCUGUCCGUAUGCUCCUCUGCGGAUGAACAGAUGAACUGGUUUUAGAACAAGCUCCUCUUCAGCCUUGUCUUCAGUGAAUUCAGAUGUCCAAGUAACUCAAACAACUUCAUUUCUGAGAACAAAGGGGUCCAUUUUGAUCUAUCCUUGGAUGGCUCUCCUGCCCUUGCCUCCUUGAUCAUUUUCGAUGUCCUCCUCCUUCCUUCCUCCAGUUUCUUCAUGUCUUUUAAAGGUGGGCCCAGAACUGCACACAAUAUUUCCAGAGAUCAGAGAAUCAGGCUUUUAUCUUUACC
rnacentral:lncRNA from 1 species